UACGUAGGCAGCGAGCGUUGUUCGGAGUUACUGGGCGUAAAGGGUGUGUAGGCGGUUUUCUAAGUUUGGUGUGAAAUCUCCCGCUCAACCGGGAGGGUGCGCCGAAAACUGGGAGACUGGAGUGCGGGAUGGGAGAGUAGAAUUCCUGGUGUAGCGGUGAAAUGCGUAGAUAUCAGGAGGAAUACCGGUGGUGUAGACGGCUCUCUGGACCGCCACUGACGCUGAGACACGAAAGCGUGGGUAGCAAACGGG
rnacentral:rRNA from 1 species